UGCAAGUCGAGGGUAACGGAAGCUUGCUUUUGCUGACGACCGGCGCACGGGUGCGUAACGCGUAUGCAACCUACCUCAUACUGGAGGAUACCCCCUGGAAACGGGGAUUAAUACUCCAUAGUAUCACGAAUUCGCAUGUUUUUGUGAUUAAAGUUUUCGGUAUGAGAUGGGCAUGCGUCCCAUUAGCUUGUUGGUGAGGUAACGGCUCACCAAGGCAACGAUGGGUAGGGGGCCUGAGAGGGUGGUCCCCCACACUGGUACUGAGACACGGACCAGACUCC
rnacentral:rRNA from 2 species